CGCAGGGAAAAAGAAAAGGAGCCUGAUGAGGAGAUGGAGAUAAAAUGCCAUAUUAUGCCAUGGGAUCUAGUGUAUCUGAGGGUCUUCAGGAGAGAGUGACAUAAAACAAGGACCAAGGAGAGCAGCUCUAACAGCAGGCCAAGGGGGAAGGAGCACAUCUGAUGUCAUCUGAGCCAUUGCAAAAAGUUCCUAAAAUACCAGUCGAAGAAGAGGACAACAAAAACACGAUACAGAAGAGGAGAGCUGAGGAGCAGAGGAGAACUUAAACACAAUAAUGAAGAAGAGAGCUGAGGAAAAGAAAAUAAUAAAAGACAUGAUACAGAAGACAACAACAGAAAAAUUAAAAGCAAUUCAAGCCUACAAAGAGAUAAAAGAACGAAGUAAUGACCACCCAGGGCAUAUCAAGCAACAACAACAAAGUUAAGAAAAAUUUGUAAAUGAGAAGAGACUUUCAGGAGCAACAACCAAUGAGUGCAAAGCAGUGGAGUUCACAAGCAAUACACAGAGACAAAGUUGCUGCAAGGAUCAGUAACACUUUAGCGAGGACCAGUAACACCAGUGAGAAUUUAUUCUACAAUAAUCUCUGCAGAACCAAAGUUUAGAUAAAAUACUGAAGAUACCAAAACAAAAAGGAGACAAGGACAUCAACAGAAGAAAAAGGACGUCAACGGAAGGAAAAAAAAUAUGUUGGACAUUUUAUGGGAAACAAAAAAAAAACAUUAUGAAUGAAUGGUACAAAUGGGUAACUUUCAAAGCUAAGAGAAAUUGGUAUGAACAAUUGCUUAUUAUGCUCUAAAUCAUAAAAGGUAGGAAUAGUCAAAAGUCGACAUGAUAUUACAGGGGGGUUCGAUGUAACAAAUUGACAAAUUCUGGUUUAAAUAUCCAUUUUAUAGGGCAUAUUUUGGUAAAUAGUUAAUAUUGGGAAAGUUAAUAAAAGCAUUAAAAGGCAGAAUAGAAAUUCAAGAAAAACAAAUACUAAGGAAUAUUAAAGCUACAGUAGACCUUAUGGAACUAAAGAUGAGGGAUAUUUAAAGGGAAUAUUCUAUAACAUAGAACUUGAACAAAUCAAAUAUAAAAUUCCAAAAGCUAUUAUAAAUCCUUAAUAAUUUUGGCUUUAGGUAUGGAAAGGGUGGACAAUGCUGGUAUACAGUAAAAAGAAUGUGGGAAUCAGAUCAUAGCAGUGGACAUAUGAAGAUCAAACAGUAAUGUAAGCAGAAUUCUUUUGGUUUAAUUUUGAUUUGAUGGGAAAUGAUAACUUAUGGUGGUUUUGCAAUUAGAGAAGAAAUAUAUAUGUACAAGACUAAGGUUAAUUUAAGAAAUCAUCAUGAUUAUAUUGAAGUAUAUUGAACAAAAUACUGAGAAAACAAAUGAUAAAACUAAAAUAGUUUAUCCCUAAAUUGGUUUGGUAUUACCUGUUACAAUUUAAGCAAGAGAUGAGAUAAAAUCAUGGUUAGAAUAAAUAUUGAUUUAAUCUAGAAUUACUAAAUUAUAUCUACUAUAAUCAACAAAGGUUUAUUAAAUUUAACUAAUGAUGUUUUAACAAUUUUAGAAAAACAAUGAGAUACUACAAAGGGGUAUAGUUUUAUUGUAUGGAGAUUAAUGUUAUGCUAAAAAUACAACAUAGAUAUUCAUUGAAGCUAUCAAUAAGCUUAAGAGUUUAGGAUAAAAACUGCAACAAAUACAAGAAGAAAGAAUCUUAAUGUGGAAUUGGUGUGAUUUAAAAUUAGGAAAAUGGGUGAUUGUUUUGUCAAAUUCUCACAGACAUAUUUUUGUAUGUCAAAUGAUUAAAGGUAUAGGUUAAAGGAUGAAUAUUAUCAAAAGGUAAAGGAUGCAAAUUAUCAGAGGAUAAGGAUUUGUGAUUUUAAUUGGAUGGAUUGUUAUUUUAUUGUGUACUCCCUAUUUUGAAACAAAUGUUAAUGGAAAAUCAAGAUGAAAAGUUACUUCAUAUAGGAAAUUACAAAGUGCAUCAAAAUGGGUUUUGCAAAAGUUAGAAAAUGGUAAUAUUACAUCAGAAAAAGAUAAUGAAAAUAAUAAGUAUUGAAAAGGUAUUUGACUAAUUUCCACUCUUAUGAUGAAUAUGGAUGUUUUUAUGAGUUCUGAUUUUACAGCAACAAUGACAUAAUGAAGUAUAUUCCAUGAUCAUAAAGGUUUAUUAAUUGAAGGAGUAGGUUCUCUUACUUCUCCAAGAGAAAAUGUUUGUUCCACACUCCACCAAAGUGCGGCAGCAUGAUUUAAUCAUUGGUAAGGGAAAGAUGGCUUAAUUGGGCCAUUAAUUAGCUUAACUUAAUUGAACUGGAUUGUGAAGUUGCACUUUGGGUGAGACUUGUGAAAGUCUCAAAGGGUGGAAUGAAGAAGAUUUUUUUAAUUCAGAACUAUAUCUUUGGUGAACAUGGUAUUCAGAUUCAAAUGUGUUUUGCAAGUAAACAUGUCUCAUGCUUGUAAGCUGAAGACUAGCAGUCUUAAAGACUGCAAUGUAUGCAGGGUUUAAAAUAUGGUAACUGAGAGCAUACUGGAGCUAAAAAUGCAUAGGCUGACAUUUGGAAGGAAUGAAGUCACAACACCUGUCAAACAUAAAAACAUGCUAAAAACAACUACAUGGGAGGGGUUUCAACUUUUAGAGAACUGUAUAUUAGGUUGCAUUCUGAAAAAGACUCUUUAGUUGCUUGGCCACCAACUCGGCCUUAUUGUUGUAUGCAAUAAAGUCAUCUUUUGGCAAUGGAA